UUUCAUAAGAUUUCCAGAUCGAUUAAAUUCAUAUUCAUAUGAAUUUUGGAGCUCAAGAUAUACAUAUUUUACUAGAACUGUUCUAUAGUUGUCAGAUUUUCAGUUUGAGGUUCCUCUCAAGAUUAGCCUAUGUUUAUGAUUUUUUCUCUAUUUAUGGAUCACUAGAAAGUUGUAAGUUCUGAAUUUAUCUUUCAGAUGGUACAAGAUGGGAAUUUUUAGCCAUCAGAAUUAAAAGAUAAAAAAGAAGAGAAGCAACAACGCUGCUGUCAUGUCUAGUUUUGCGUGUGUUUUUUGUGAGGAUGUGG
rnacentral:lncRNA from 1 species